CUACUGAGGAAGCAGGAGGAAGGAGAGGCCAAGCAGAGAUUGGAGUGGCAGGAGGGAAUGAAGGAAUGGCAGGAGGGUUUGGUGACAGAGGAAGAAGAAAGAAAAGAACUGCAAAGGAAGACGAGAAACAGACCACUCCGCGCACCCAAGUUUCCCAUACGUGACUCAUUUUUUGGCUGGUGUUGAAUUCCACAGGAGGCCUCAGGUGGUUUCCUAGUAUGACGGCGGCCUCCCAAGCCAACCAAGCUCUGCCUCACCACUCUCUUCCCUCCCAAAUCCUGAAGGCUGCUUGUUAUCAUGUUCACCUCCAUUCAACAUUCAUCCCAAAAUAGUGGCACAGUGUGUACACACAGCAAAGCAUGGGCAAGUUCAAGCUGCUAUAAUAACAAGGCAAUGGACAUUUCUCAGCCAUGAACUGUGAUGAAUGGCAAAGAAAAAACCCCAGGCGUGGUUUGCUCCUGCCCCAGCAGGACCAGGGCACCGCUCAACAACUUGGUAGUAUGUUCAUGCUCACAUACAGAUUUAAUGAGCCCGUUUUACGGUGGGGAUAUGUGCCAAGAAAAUCCAACUGUCUGCACAGGGGGGGCAAAUGAAGCACAAACUCCAAGAUGAAGAAAGCAGGGCUGCUUACAGACCAGAGAACAGAACUACAUCAUAUGUACAUUUAUCUCAUCCAAAUGUAAGUGUGAGAGUGCUUGUCAACC